AAUGAACGCUGGCGGCAGGCUUAACACAUGCAAGUCGAGCGCCCCGCAAGGGGAGCGGCAGACGGGUGAGUAACGCGUGGGAAUCUACCCAUCUCUACGGAAUAACGCAUGGAAACGUGUGCUAAUAACGUAUACGUCCUUCGGGAGAAAGAUUUAUCGGAGAUGGAUGAGCCCGCGUUGGAUUAGCUAUUUGGUGGGGUAAAGGCCUACCAAGGCGACGAUCCAUAGCUGGUCUGAGAGGAUGAUCAGCCACACUGGGACUGCGACACGGCCCAGACUCCUACGGGAGGCAGCAGUGGGGAAUAUUGGACAAUGGGCGCAAGCCUGAUCCAGCCAUGCCGCGUGAGUGAUGAAGGCCCUAGGGUUGUAAAGCUCUUUCACCGGUGAAGAUAAUGACGGUAACCGGAGAAGAAGCCCCGGCUAACUUCGUGCCAGCCGCCGCCGUAAUAC
rnacentral:rRNA from 1 species